UUUAAAUGACAGAGCAUUUUUAGAGGUCAGCGUCUAAUCAAAAAUUCUGUUUUAAAACUGAGGAUAUUUGACCAUGAUUUGACCAAACAGUCAUUUUGGCAAUUAGUAUAAUCUGAAAUAUGCUUGUGGAAAAUUUUAAGUAGGGUAUUUCAGUAGGAAGGUUGUUCAAAUUGUCUUUGGAACAGUCUUUGAAAUUUAUCUUGAUGCUGGCUACUAUUAUUUACGUUUUUAUCUUUUUCCAGUGAGGCUCAAAGCUAAAUUCAUUAAGGUCAGCACUUUAUCCAUUAUGCUGUGUUCCCUCUUCUGAAUUUAACAAGCUCAUCUAAUUGCUUUCUUUAAAUUGGCAUAUAGUCCCUUCAGUGCAUGCUAAAUUAUUUCUCUUUUUAAAAUUAGGACUUGGAAAAAGCUUGACCCCUCAGUAGAGUCCUCAUACUCCAGUAUACAGAAAUUGGUCAUAAGUCACUUAUAGAGAGUUCAGAGCUUCAUUUUUGAAAAGGAAAGUAUUUCAAUGCUGAAAGAGUUGGUCAGGCUUGAUGAACAGAGUGAUCUUAUACCUAUACAUACUGUCUUCCUGGAGAGUCAGUGGAGAAUAUGAAAGUGCAAUAUUUGCUGUGAAUAGUUUUCGGAAAGUCUCUUGUGUAUUAAGCUCAAAUCUCUGUCAUGUUAGAGUAUUUGAAAUGGAUGUAGAUGAUGGGGAAAUUGAAGAGGAAGAGAAGGAUGAAGAAGAGGAGGAAUCUUCAUCCCAUCACGUGUCUGGUGAGCAGAAAGAAUUAAUUCAGUCUGUCGAUAACCAAGAAAGUGUUGGCAAUGAAUCUGCCAAUCUGGUGGAUGUAGGGGAAGAUCAGGAAUCUAACUUAGAUUCAUAACCUGAGCUACAAUUAUUUUGUUUGUUCUCAUUAUGUUAGUAUGUUAUGUUGGUGAGCUAAGAUUUUUCUUUUAGGAACACCUUAAUAUUUUCUUUGUACCAAAGAAAUAAACAGUUAAUUAUCUUGUGGACAAUGCAUAUUUUCUUUAAAUCUGCUUCAUCUUUCAGAAAUGUAACCACUGGAAGGAUAUUUCCUUUUGCUGAUGUUCCUUGAUAAAUCUGCCUGAAGAACUGUAGUUUUUAAAGCAAACAUUAAUUGAAGAAAGGGAUUCAGUUUUUUUUUAAAUUUUUAUUUAUUUA
rnacentral:lncRNA from 1 species